rnacentral:rRNA from 1 species
UUUGUUGGAGAGUUUGAUCCUGGCUCAGGACGAACGCUGGCGGCGUGCCUAAUACAUGCAAGUCGGGCGGAGUUUCCGCUUGGAAGCCUUCGGGCGGAAGGGCGGGAACUUAGCGGCGAACGGGUGAGUAACACGUGGGCAACCUGCCCGCAAGACGGGGAUAACUGGCGGAAACGUCAGCUAAUACCGGAUAGGUCAUCGGAGGGGCAUCCUUCUGAUGGGAAAGGCGGAGCAAUCUGCCGCUUGCGGAUGGGCCCGCGGCGCAUUAGCUGGUUGGCGGGGUAACGGCCCACCAAGGCGACGAUGCGUAGCCGACCUGAGAGGGUGACCGGCCACACUGGGACUGAGACACGGCCCAGACUCCUACGGGAGGCAGCAGUAGGGAAUCUUCGGCAAUGG